GUCAGGCUUCCAAGAAAAGCCCUAUACCCGUUAAGGCAUGACGGCCUGUACCCGAAACCGACACAGGUGGGGUGGUAGAGAAUACCGAGGGGCGCGAGAUAACUCUCUCUAAGGAACUCGGCAAAAUGGCCCCGUAACUUCGGGAGAAGGGGUGCCACCGCAAGGUGGUCGCAGUGAAGAGGCCCAGGCGACUGUUUACCAAAAACACAGGUCUCCGCUAAGUCGCAAGACGAUGUAUGGGGGCUGACGCCUGCCCAGUGCCGGAAGGUUAAGGAAGCUGGUCAGCGCAAGCGAAGCUAGCGACUGAAGCCCCGGUGAACGGCGGCCGUAACUAUAACGGUCCUAAGGUAGCGAAAUUCCUUGUCGGGUAAGUUCCGACCCGCACGAAAGGCGUAACGAUCUGGGCGCUGUCUCGGAGAGAGGCUCGGCGAAAUAGAAUUGUCUGUGAAGAUGCGGACUACGUGCACCCGGACAGAAAGACCCUAUGAAGCUUUACUGUAGCUUGGUAUUGUGCCCGGGCUCGGAAUGCGCAGGAUAGGUGGGAGGCUUUGAUCCAUUGCUUGUGGGUAAUGGUGAGCCACUGGUGAGAUACCACUCUUUCAGAGCUAGGGUUCUAACGGUCACCCGUUAUCCGGGGACCGGACAGUAUCAGGUGGGCAGUUUGACUGGGGCGGUCGCCUCCUAAAAGGUAACGGAGGCGCGCAAAGGUUCCCUCAGGCUGGUUGGAAAUCAGCCGACGAGUGUAAAGGCAGAAGGGAGCUUGACUGUGAGACCUACAAGUCGAACAGGGACGAAAGUCGGCCUUAGUGAUCCGACGGUUCUGAGUGGAAGGGCCGUCGCUCAACGGAUAAAAGUUACUCUAAGGAUAACAGGCUGAUCUCCCCCAAGAGUUCACAUCGACGGGGAGGUUUGGCACCUCGAUGUCGGCUCAUCGCAACCUGGGGCUGAAGUCGGUCCCAAGGGUUGGGCUGUUCGCCCACUAAAGCGGUACGCGAGCUGGGUUCAAAACGUCGUGAGGCAGUUCGGUCCAUAUCCGGUGCACGCGCAGGAACAUUGAGAGGAUUUCUCCCUAGUACGAGAGGACCGGGAGGAACGCACCUCUGGUGUACCAGUUAUCGUGCCAACGGUAAACGCUGGGUAGCCAUGUGCGGAGCGGAUAACCGCUGAAAGCAUCUAAGUGGGAAGCCCACCUCAAGAUGAGUGUUCCCAUGGCAUAAGCCAGUAAGGUCACGGGAAGAACACCCGUUGAUAGGCUCUACGUGGAAGCGUGGCAACACGUGAAGCGGAGGAGUACUAAUAGACCGAGGGCUUGAU
rnacentral:rRNA from 1 species